ACCUCUUUUAUUUCAUAUUCAGUCCUCCUCCCGAGAUCACGGGCCCUUUGUAAAAAUGAAAUAUGUCAUUAUUUAUUUUUACGUCUGUGCUACUUUGCAUCUGUGAUUCACUCGGAGGAGAGGUCACGCUGCUUUUUGAACCUAAGUGCUGUUACAACUGAAGUCUGAAUCCCUUGGUAGCAAAAUUCCUUAUUCCAAGUUUUAUAACUUCUUAUAAUAUCUCCCUACCACAUUUCCUCCGGACUCACGUCGAGAAGCAGGAAGACAGAGGAGAAGGGUUGCCGUGUGAGGGGACGGACAGCAGAACUCUUCCAGCAUGAAAACUAUUUGCAGGAAUUUAGCAAACAUCCUGGGUUUUCACAGCGCCGGAGAGGAGGGUUCGCAAGGCCGGGAGGGGAGGUGGAAGUGGAUUGAGAAACCAGGGAGCUGGAGUUACUGUACAAUUAUGUCCUCUUGGCCAGAGGAGAAAUAGUCGGAUCAUUUUAGCCCCGGUGAUUUUUAAAAAUGGAGACUGGAAGAA